AAACGUUCAACUUGCAUUUAGCAAGCCGCAAAUCGACUUAAGCCAUGGAACGGGGACUUAAG
ncrna:unclassified sequences Glutamine-II riboswitch (downstream peptide RNA)